GAUGGAGCCACAGGAUAUCAUGCCUGGCACUGUACUUCUGUCCAAAGCCUACAGCUCGGGAGGCCUGGCUGCUCUCAACCUGGGUUGGAGUAGGCAGCGGUGGGGAGAUGCAGAGGAAGUCAGAGUGCUGAGAUUAAGAGACAGAGUGCUCAGCCGUAACUGGGCAUCUGUAUUAAACUCCCUACCAAGGCGCAGCGGACAUCUUUGAAGAGGAGGAAGAAAGGGUGUAAGAGCCAGAAGGUGGGGAGAAGUGCGGGGAUAUCAUGUCUUCUGGACACCAGACAGCUAGCAGGAUCGUGAACUCACAGCAGCUGGAGUUACCUGCCCAAGACCAAGCCCGCUAAAAUGUAGGCAGAGACGGGCACGAUCUCCAGGGCCACUCCUUGCCCGAGGAGCUGUUGGCACCGGAUAGCUGCUGAGAGAGGAAAAAUUUGUUUAUUUUUGAAGAUGUGGCCACAGGAGCACAGCUGCAUACACAGCAAUACAUAAAAAACGAAGAGGAGGGAGCAGAGAUAAGUCCCACCGCGAACGGAAGAGCAUCCGCGUCUGGCUGUUAGAAUCGGGGAGGUCGUCCUAGAAGAGAUGAUGUCGAGUUGAAUUUUGACUAUGGUAAGAUGUAAAUAAAUGAUGAUGGAUAUUGGGUCGAUGCCAGACAACAAGAACCAAGAUGGAAAAGUACCUUCUUUGGUUUGAUGACAAGUGAGUCACGGAUGAAUCACUCUGUUCACCUUGAGCCCAGCCGGUGAGAGUUUCAGAAAGGUAAGUUCACUCCAGACAGUUCUAAAAGCCAGCCUAGGAAUUUUGGACUGUGUGUUGUGGCUAGGGAAGUUUUGGGUGAAGUAAUAGGCAAAAUGGGUCAUGGGGGGGGCGUAGGUGGGUGGAAUGAAUCCAACUGCGGAGAGAAUUGUCCAUGGCAGAGAGAAGAGGAGCUGAGGGGCCGGCAUGGAGCUUAGUGAUAGGGCUCGGGUAACUUGGAGAUUCUCUCAAAUAUCUGAAGUGUCUGUGAAGACAGCCUUGGAUUCAUGCAGCAGAGGAACCCACAACCACCCUCCUGGGGUUGGUCCUGCUCUGAGUAACCAGGCUUACUUCUUGUGAAAUGUCAUGCUCUUCUUUCAUAGCAGACAGGGACUCCAGGUACAUCCCGAGACACAUCUGUAACCAGACGAGGUUUCCUGGAGGAGGUGAAGUAAGGCUGUGCACCGCCAGUCCCUCGCCGGGAGAGUCAGGCCUGGACUUGGGAGGCAGGGGAGUGUGAAAACAGAACAUGAUCCACACCGGGGGCUAUCGUCCACAAGACUGCCGCUCCAGUGCCCCUUGUCUUCUGCUAGCCCAAGGAGCGGUCUGCUUGCCAUUCGACUCUUCCGGCUUCUCCUGUUCAGUGUCUGCAGGAGCCGUCUUGACCUGAUGGCUAGGUCUGGGAGCAUCAUUGUACCUGGUCUGCUGCAGUUCAAAUGUCUUCCUGAAAGUCCACGCCUCGGGAGUCUAAUUUCCGGCUACAGAGUGCUGAAAUAGUGAGAGAGGUACAAUGAGGACUCCUCCCACAGGUGGGUUGGCACUGUCGCCAUGGGAAUAGGCUCCUGAUGGAAGGGUGAGUCUGGACCCCAUCUCGCCAAUCUCCAUCUCUCCUGCAUUUCCUCUCCUACCCGUUCUCUUUCCACCAGCGCCUCGCCAGUGCCAGUGAAGGUCCUCUUGCCCUCUUGCCUCCCACCGUGGGGUGAUAGAGCAAGGAAGUGUUUUGCCAGAAGCAGGCUUGUUGGCCAUCUCAGCUGUGAGAACCCAGUCUCCACCUCAGACAUGCUGGGGUACCCCGAGGCUGCUGGAACCAGUGCCUCUUCCUCCAACACCCAGCCUUCCAGUUUUCCUCCAGAGCACGUUUGACAUGGGCUCUGGUGCAGUUCUUAGAGUCUGCUCUCGAAGCUUCCUGCUCGCAUCAACUUCCUGAAAACGCUCAUUCCUGGAGGCUUUCGUGAUCCCCUUCUGAGUGCCCUGGACAGUGAUUUGGAGUGACACCAAGUGUCCCCAGUCCCCUCCAGAUCUCACUAUGUUGAUUCCAUGCUGUGAUCCUCCCAUAACUUCUAGCAUCCAAGUGUGUGCAGAGCCUGAGUUCUCCCACAGUCCCCAGCAUCCCAGUGUGUGCAGAGCCUGAGUCCUCCCACAGUCCUCACCAUCUCAGUGUGUGCUGAGCCUGAGUCCUGCCACGGCUCUCACCAUCUCAGUGUAUGCAGAGCCUGAGUCCUCCCACAGUCCCCAGCAUCCCAGUGUGUGCAGGGCCUGAGUCCUCCCAUAGCCCUCACCAUCCCAGUGUAUGCUGAACCUGAGUCCCGCCAUGGCUCUCACCAUGCCAGUCCUCUUACUGCACUCAGUAGCCCUUGUGUUCUGAGCGACUGUCCUCCAAGGUAAGCCACCAGCCAUUUUGGGAUAUCUACCUGCACCCCCUUGCAAAAAUCAUGCUAGUUUGGCUUGUUGACUGUUUACACACCCACGCAGAGGGGUGAAGAGGGGCUUGAUAUUCUCACCUGAGUAUCAAACUGCUUUCUACCUCCUCUUGUACAAAACUGGUUUGAUUGCAUGUGGCCUAAGGAAGGGUAUAUAAAGGAGUUCGCGUAUACAGAGGCCAGGGCGGACUAGGGCUGGGGGUCCAUCUAUGUGGGUAAAGAGAAGCCCUCAUCCCUGCUGGGUAAGGCUUUUCAGGUGCAGCAUUUUUUUUGGGGGUCACCCACACCCCUAUAGGAAGCCCAAUAAACUCACUGGUUCCCCAGAGUAGAGUUGGGCAGAAUUGUGCCUUAGUUUGUCGUUGGGCCCUUGGGAGGAGGGGUAGAUGUUGCCCACAUCUGCUCUGGGGAAAGGAAUUUCAGCAGCACCUUCUCAGGCUUGUCAUUACUGAACUGGCCUCUUGUCCAGGUGGGGGACAGCAGAGCUGGCAGUGAAGGCUGUGUCAGUGGCCACUUAUGGGGUGCCAUGACUCCUGGAAGGAAGCCUGGCAGAAAAACCACGUAUAGAUCAGAAGUACUGCCCAUGGAAACCAUCAGAAACAUUAGAACAGACUGGAUCUCUCUGGAAUCCAGGCAGAGCUGCUGGCCUAGGACUGGAUUCUGCUUGCUGGCAGAUUCAGGAUCUUUGCCCUCAGUGCAUUCAUGGCCUAGUGAGUUGCCGGGCUGCUGCAGACUGGCUGGAGAGAGUACUUCUCUGGCAUGAUGGAAGGAAGUUGGCCCGGAGGUGAGACCUGGGUGCACAGGCCUAGUCUAUGCCUUAGCAUUUGUAUUGGGGAAAAUUAUAAAGGCCACUCCACGUAAUUAAAAGGAAGAUUUAUUUAGUGGAUGACUUACAAAUGAAGGAAUAGAUAGGUUGCGGGGGUCUGGGGAAGGUGUAUCGCAAUCCAGCGGUGUUCUCUGGAGCUCUGCACAUUCAACCUCCACCUUCCAGGGUCCAGGUGCAGAGAGCGCGCACAGAGAGAGCGCUCACCCAUCCAGCUCUCGGGUUUCCAGCUCCUCCCCUCGCCCCGCCUCAUAGGCGUGACAGUUGCCAGAGUCUCAAUGGGGGUUGGAACUUCCAGAUCCAAGCUGGAAUGGCUACCCACUACACAUUUGGGAUGAUAGGGCUCUGGAAGACUGUGACCCAGUGGUCCAGCUCUCUGUUUCUAUGAUGUGAGGUCUCUUCUUAGGUCUGAAUCUAAGAGCCAACUGAUCUUGGACCAAAAUCUCCAAAACUGUGAGCCAAACAACUUCUUCACAUAAGUAGUGAAUCUCAGGCCUGUUUCAUUUAGAAGUAUGAGAUCAUAGCCAGUUUCCUAGUUACUGUGUUCAUUUAUGGAUGCUCCCACUGAUCCAUGUCCCUUAUUGACAGACCCUGAGGACGCUUUUAGUCUCUUUGCUUUGUCCACAGCAAUGCGUAAUCUAUAUCAAACGUGUAUCAGGUCGCCAAGGUAGAAGUGCUUCUCUUGGCUGUGGGUUUUUAGAGGUGGAGUUGUUAGUUAAACCUCACAUGCAUUUACAUUUUAGGCAAAUAUCGUUACAUUGUUUGUCUUCUACAGUGCUUGGGACUAGGGAUGGACCCCAGGGCCCUGCGCAUGCUCGAAACUUAAGAGCAAGUCUGGAUUUCUACUCUUGUCCGAGGCCUUACCAAAGAAUUGUCCUCCUGUCAAGCUUCUUUGUAGGAAGAUGAUUCUCAUCCUAACUCUAAAUCAGUGCUUCUGGUUAUACUAAGAGAGGCCAAGCAUCUUGAAAGAGAAUCUUCAAAACCGGGGAAGUACUUCAGUUCUUGUGGGAGGAGGCAGAGGACAGAGGAAAGACUCCCCCAGGUGAAAGAGGUCUCCGUAGCAAUAGGUCAUGGGCCCAGGGUGCCUCCGGGGUAACUGUGCCUUUCCUUUCUCUUGGCUGACAUGCCAAACCCGCUUGAUGCUCACGUCAGCUUGGGCUUGUCACUCGGGUGGAAGAGCGGUCCUUUGCAUGCUGUCUUCAGCUCUGCAAGCUUGGAUGUUUCCAGAGCUUUCAAGCAUUUUCCUGGACCAGCUCAGUUCAGCCCGUUCAACUUUCAUGCCUUGUUACGGCAGUGGGGCUUGAGGGCCCAUCAAGCUGUUACCUCCAGAGCUUUCUCGUUGUCUCCACGGCUUUCUCCAUGGUCGUAUAGACGUGGGGAAGGGGUCAGUACAGCAUUGCCUUGGUGUAUGAGGGGAGGUUGCUUAAAAAGGAGUCUCUCUCCCGCCCACACUUACUGCAAAACUGUUUCUCUGUCGUCUGCUGAUAUUAAAUGUGUGUCUCAGCACUCUGCAGCGGGUGCCUCAGCUCCAGGACGCUCACCAGAGGGGUUCUCCCCACUGAGUCCCCUGGGAAGCUAGGGUAGCGCAGUCUGUGUCGCAGCCAGUAUUGGAAAUGUUAUUAGAACACAGCGUGAGACAUCAACAUCUCGAAAACGCGAAUCACUUUGGGAAUUUGGCUUUGCAGCCGUGAACACCGUCCAUAACCAGAGGUCUUCAGAGCCAAUAAAGUGCAUGCGACAUGACGGGGAGCUCAGCUUCACUCAGGGAGUUCAGAUUUCAGGUUAGAAGUGACCGUGGCAGGAAGUUAGGUACCUAUGUCCUUUGUUCUGUCUCCUAAGAAUGAAGGAAUGUCUAGUUUUGUUUGUUUGUUUUUUAAGAAUAUCUGUUUUAGUCAGAAAUUUUCAUUUUAGAAGCAAUAUAAGAAAGAUUAUGGGUCAGGUCUCCCUCGAUCUCUCUCUUCCUCUCUUCCUCGUUUUUUCUUUCCUUUUAUUAUGUCUGAAGCAGCUGCCACAUGGUUGUCACUGUGAUAGAAUCAAGAGCCCAUGUUCCUGGGACUAGAGGGAUGGCUCAGAGAUUAAGAGCAUGCUGCUCUUCCAGAGGACCUGAGUUCAAUUCCCAGCACCCACAUGACAGCUCACAACUGUCUGUAUCAGGAGAUCCGAAGCCCUCAUACCGACAUAUGUGCAGGCAAAACACCAAUGUACAAAAAAUAAAAGUAAAUAAGUUAUUUUCAAAAUAGGAGUUCAUAUUCCUGCUUAUAAACAUCUUUCUCUUGGCCUUCACUUCAGCCCUUGAGUACAUGCCUCACACAGUUUGGUUAAGUAAUAACAAUUAUCAGUCUUAGAGAGGGUACCCAGUGACCUAUCUACCUACCUAUCUGUCUGUCUGUCUAUCUAUCUAUCUAUCAUCUAUCUAUCCAUCUCUGUGAAUUCAU